rnacentral:rRNA from 1 species
AUUGAACGCUGGCGGCAGGCCUAACACAUGCAAGUCGCGCGGAUCGGCGGACGUGUGAGUAAUGCCUAGGACUCUGCCUGGUAGUGGGGGAUAACGUCCGGAAACGGGCGCUAAUACCGCAUACUAUCAGAUGAGCCUAGGUCGGCUUAGCUAGUUGGUGGGGUAAAGGCCUACCAAGGCGACGAUCCGUAACUGGUCUGAGAGGAUGAUCAGUCACACUGGAACUGAAACACGAGCCAGACUCCUGCGGCAGGAAGCGGUGAGGAGAAUUGGACAAUUGGAGAAAGCCUGAUCCAGCCAUGCAGCGGGGAUGAAAGAGGUGUUCGGAUUGUUAAGCACUUUAAGUUGGGUGGCCUUACCAACAGAAUAAAGACCGGCUAACUCAGUGCUAGCAGGCGCGGUAAUAC